ensembl:lncRNA
GGAAGUGGUCAUCAGGAAGUGUAGAGCCAAACAGAGUACGGUGCAUAGACUGUACAGACAUUUUUUUCCGUUAGUUUUCAUGGUCAGAAUGAGAGAUCAGGUGGCCGAUCUUAAAAUAAAUCAAUAUUGAUUUUUUUUAUAGAGCAUUAAAGUUUUGCAAAGCGAGGAGGCGGGACUACUUGAUUGACAGUCCGGUCUGGAAUGAUUGACAGGUCCUAUGGAGGAGGCAGCAGAGACUCUGUUCUCCUCGUUUGGAUUAAUUCUGAUAUAAUAACUGUUGGUUUAUUUAUCGGUGGAGCAGCAGAACAUUUUCCAGGCAGUUUUCCUUCCCGUUGGCUUGUUUUAACCAGUUUUCUACCUUCGGCUGAUUCUACCAGCAGACACUGAAAGGACUCUGAUAGUUCGGUCCCUCUCUAUCUCCACACACAUCCACCAACCACUGGAACACAUCUCCAAAGUUCUGCCGGGCCAGCUCAGCUUCCCCUCAGAAGAAGUGCUACCAGAUGAAGGAGCCUUUUGAGAGGCAGCUGGCAUCGUGAUUGGACUGUACUUUGGUCUGUUCCAAUCCAGCUUCAGCUCCAGAGACGGCAGGCGGGACGAGUCAACGGAGGCCGGGUGGACGAAGGCAUGCAGCUGAGUACAAUCCAGAAAACAACAGAGGAGGAGUGCAGUGGCCCAGGGCCAGAACAAGCAGAGUACCAUUGUAUGUCUCUUAGAAAACAUCAUAGUAUAGCCUUUGGUAUGAAAAAAACGCCAUCAUAUACAUCGUAUAUUGUACAAAUAACAAGUCAAAGGAAAGAGACAUACAUUGUAGAAUUGUAGUAAUUGUGGGCUGACUGAUUUACUGAUUAUCAGUAUUUUAUUUUAUACUGAUUUAUGGUAAUAAAUACAUUUAAAAAUGGCGCUACUUUGGCUCUGAACCUUAAUCUACCUGUGGUCGCUCUGUCUUCUGGAGUGAUUUGAUUGGUUAUACGUCACGAAUAAAAUUCCUUUAACUUAACAUCUGUAAACAAAACAAAAACAUAUCAACAAAGUUUCCUGUUAGAGUUUGUGUUCUUCUAAGUUUAACUCCAAGAUUUUAAAUACUUUCAUUUACUGCAAAUGAAUAUCGACUCCAAAUGUCUCAGUA